rnacentral:rRNA from 1 species
AGAGUUUGAUCCUGGCUCAGAUUGAACGCUGGCGGCAUGCCUUACACAUGCAAGUCGAACGGUAACGCGGGGCAACCUGGCGACGAGUGGCGAACGGGUGAGUAAUACAUCGGAACGUGCCCAGUAGUGGGGGAUAGCCCGGCGAAAGCCGGAUUAAUACCGCAUACGACCUACGGGUGAAAGCGGGGGAUCGCAAGACCUCGCGCUAUUGGAGCGGCCGAUGUCAGAUUAGCUAGUUGGUGGGGUAAAAGCCUACCAAGGCGACGAUCUGUAGCUGGUCUGAGAGGACGACCAGCCACACUGGGACUGAGACACGGCCCAGACUCCUACGGGAGGCAGCAGUGGGGAAUUUUGGACAAUGGGGGCAACCCUGAUCCAGCCAUGCCGCGUGCGGGGAGAAGGCCUUCGGGUUGUAAACCGCUUUUGUCAGGGAAGAAACGGUCUGCGCUAAUACCGCGGACUAAUGACGGUACCUGAAGAAUAAGCACCGGCUAACUACGUGCCAGCAGCCGCGGUAAUACGUAGGGUGCAAGCGUUAAUCGGAAUUACUGGGCGUAAAGCGUGCGCAGGCGGCUUUGCAAGACAGAUGUGAAAUCCCCGGGCUCAACCUGGGAACUGCAUUUGUGACUGCAUGGCUGGAGUGCGGCAGAGGGGGAUGGAAUUCCGCGUGUAGCAGUGAAAUGCGUAGAUAUGCGGAGGAACACCGAUGGCGAAGGCAAUCCCCUGGGCCUGCACUGACGCUCAUGCACGAAAGCGUGGGGAGCAAACAGGAUUAGAUACCCUGGUAGUCCACGCCCUAAACGAUGUCAACUGGUUGUUGGACGGCUUGCUGUUCAGUAACGAAGCUAACGCGUGAAGUUGACCGCCUGGGGAGUACGGCCGCAAGGUUGAAAGUCAAAGGAAUUGACGGGGACCCGCACAAGCGGUGGAUGAUGUGGUUUAAUUCGAUGCAACGCGAAAAACCUUACCUACCCUUGACUGUCUAGAAGUUUCCAGAGAUGGACUCGUGCUCGAAAGAGAACUAGAACACAGGUGCUGCAUGGCCGUCGUCAGCUCGUGUCGUGAGAUGUUGGGUUAAGUCCCGCAACGAGCGCAACCCUUAUCAUUAGUUGCUACGCAAGGGCACUCUAAUGAGACUGCCGGUGACAAACCGGAGGAAGGUGGGGAUGACGUCAGGUCAUCAUGGCCCUUAUGGGUAGGGCUACACACGUCAUACAAUGGCCGGUACAGAGGGCUGCCAACCCGCGAGGGGGAGCUAAUCUCAGAAAACCGGUCGUAGUCCGGAUCGCAGUCUGCAACUCGACUGCGUGAAGUCGGAAUCGCUAGUAAUCGCGGAUC